rnacentral:lncRNA from 1 species
AUGUUUGGAGUGGCGGCGCUUCCAGAAAGGCCUGGGCCCACCUCCUGGACAAAGUCUUCCUGGCCCACUCCCUCAUCCAGUCUAUCCUCUCCACCCAAAUGCCCCCUAGGUAAUGCGCGUCCGCAGUCCAGGAAGGCGUGUUUCAAGGACCAGGGCUCCCAUGCCCCCUCCCUCAGGCGCACUCCACGUGCACCCCAAAACCACCACACUUCCAGCCGGGGUCCAGUCAAGGUUCCUAAGAGGCCAGGCCUCUUACCACCAGCUGGUGGAGGAGUGCCCCUGCGGCUGCGGGGGGCAGGGUGGACCAGGGUGCAAGUGUGGCGGGGGUGGGGCGGCGCGGGGGGAGGGGGCAUGCCACUGGGAGAGGUGAGGAGCCCGGGGCUCCCCUUCACCCCGGCUGCCUGCUCCCCCUCACACUGCAAGCCUUCCAACAGCCGCGGGCUUCGUCCAAGAUGGGAAGUGGGGCACCAGGCAGGGGCGCCCGCGGGACACGCGGGUCCCCAGGCCGGCCCCACCCCCGCCGAGGCGGACCCGUGCCGGCGCCCGCCCCGCCCCGCCCCGCUCCCCCGCCCGCAGCCGGCCUUCCGCCCUCCUCCGCGCAGGCGCCGGCUCCACCCCCGGCCCGGGCGGUGCUUCCGGGUGGGCUCCGCGGUGGGCUGCGCGGUGGGCUCCGCGCCGGCGGGUCCGGAGCCGCGGCGGAGGCGCCGGAAGCCUGCGGGUCGCCGGGCCCAGCUUUCCUGCACAAUGGGGCAAAAAAAGCAGCGAGCAUCGGAUGCCAAGCGGCAUCAGAGCCCAUCAGACGGGACCCAGACGCCUUCCCCCAAGGAGCUGCACCUGGGGCCGCCCACGACCCUGGGCCCCACGCGCAGCAUCUAUUUCUCAAGCCCAGAGGGCCGUCCUGCUCGCCUGGGAUCAGCGUUUUUCGACCAGCCCGCAGUGUCCCUGGCCCGGGCAUUUCUCGGACAGAUCUUGGUCCGACGACUGGAUGACGGCACAGAGCUCCGCGGCCGCAUCGUGGAGACUGAGGCAUACUUGGGGCCAGAGGACGAAGCUGCCCAUUCAAGGGGCGGCCGGCAGACCCCCCGCAACCGUGGCAUGUUCAUGAAGCCUGGGACCCUCUACGUGUAUCUCAUCUACGGCAUGUACUUCUGCAUGAACGUUUCCAGCCAAGGGGACGGGGCCUGUGUCCUGCUCCGAGCGCUGGAGCCCCUGGGGGGCCUGGAGGCCAUGCGACAGCUUCGCCACGCCCUCCGCAAAGGCGCUGCGGGACGAGCCCUCAAAGACCGUGAGCUCUGCAACGGCCCCUCCAAGCUGUGCCAGGCCCUGGCCAUCGACAGGAGCUUCGACCAGCGCGACCUGGCCAGGGACGAGUCGGUGUGGCUGGAGCAGGGCCCCCCCGCGCCCAGUGAGCCAGCCGUGGUGGCAGCAGCCCGUGUGGGCAUAGGCCAGGCUGGUGAGUGGGCCCAGAAGCCCCUGCGCUUCUACGUGCAGGGCAGCCCCUGGGUCAGCGUGGUGGACAGGGCGGCAGAGCGGGACACACAGGCUGGAGCCAGGGCCUGCUCCCACAAGGACUUUUAAUUGUUUACAAGCAAAAUAAACGCUGUGUUUCUAAAAGA